CCUGAUCCCAUCCCGAACUCAGUAGUGAAACGAUGCAUCGCCGAUGGUAGUGUGGAGUUUCUCCAUGUGAGAGUAGGUCAUCGUCAAGC
rnacentral:rRNA from 1 species